rnacentral:rRNA from 1 species
GACGAACCGUGCGAACGUUAUUCGGAAUCACUGGGCUUAAAGCGCGUGUAGGCGGGUCGGCACGUCGGGAGCUGAAAUCCCCCGGCUCAACCGGGGAAGGGGCGCCGAUACGACCGGCCUGGAGGGACGUAGGGGGGGGCUGGAACUUCCGGUGGAGCGGUGAAAUGCGUUGAGAUCGGAAGGAACGCCCGUGGCGAAAGCGAGCCCCUGGACGUCUACUGACGCUGAGACGCGAAAGCCAGGGGAGCGAACGGG